CACGUAGGCACCAAGCGUUGUCCGGAUUUAUUGGGCGUAAAGAGCUCGUAGGCGGUUCAGUAAGUCGGGUGUGAAAACUCUGGGCUCAACCCAGAGACGCCACCCGAUACUGCUGUGACUUGAGUACGGUAGGGGAGUGGGGAAUUCCUGGUGUAGCGGUGGAAUGCGCAGAUAUCAGGAGGAACACCAAUUGCGAAGGCAGCUCGCUGGGACGUUACUGACGCUGAGACGCGAAAGCGUGGGGAGCAAACAGG
rnacentral:rRNA from 1 species